AUCGCUUCUCGGCCUUUUGGCUAAGAUCAAAGUGUAGUAUCUGUUCUUAUCAGCUUAACGGCCCCUAAUGCAGACAACUGGGCCGAGUUCGGGAGCAUCC
rnacentral:snRNA from 1 species